rnacentral:misc_RNA from 1 species
GCUACUACCGAUUGAAUGGUUUAGUGAGGACUCCUGAUUGGCGCCGCCGCCCCGGCAACGGAGCAGCGGACUGCCGAAAAGUUGUUCAAACUUGAUCAUUUAGAGGAAGGAGAAGUCGUAACAAGGUUUCCGUAGGUGAACCUGCAGAAGGAUCAUUCCGUUUAAAGCAAUGGGAGUUGGUUCUACCCGAAGAUGGUGCGCUAACCUUUUAGGAGGCAGCCAGCCACGGUAGGAUCAGCGACUGGUGCUAAGUCGUAACAAGGUAGCCGUAGGUGAACCUGCAGAAGGAUCA